AUUUAAGUAAUUUAAAAAAAAUUUUGAUUUGUGGUAUCAAGAAUGUAAUUCAUUUACCUUAAAUU
rnacentral:tRNA from 1 species